GACGAACGCUGGCGGCGUGCUUAACACAUGCAAGUCGAGCGGUAAGCCCUUUCGGGGGUACACGAGCGGCGAACGGGUGAGUAACACGUGGGUGACCUGCCCUCAGCUCUGGGAUAAGCCUGGGAAACUGGGUCUAAUACUGGAUAUGACUCCACGGUGCAUGUCGUGGGGUGGAAAGCCUUGUGCGGCUGAGGAUGGGCCCGCGGCCUAUCAGCUUGUUGGUGGGGNGAUGGCCUACCAAGGCGACGACGGGUAGCCGGCCUGAGAGGGCGACCGGCCACACUGGGACUGAGACACGGCCCAGACUCCUACGGGAGGCAGCAGUGGGGAAUCUUGCGCAAUGGGCGAAAGCCUGACGCAGCGACGCCGCGUGAGGGAUGACGGCCU
rnacentral:rRNA from 1 species